rnacentral:rRNA from 1 species
UACGUAGGGUGCGAGCGUUAAUCGGAAUUACUGGGCGUAAAGAGUGCGUAGGCGGUUCGUUAAGUCAGCUGUGAAAGCCCCGGGCUCAACCUGGGAACUGCGGUUGAAACUGGCGAACUAGAAUCUGGCAGAGGGGGGUGGAAUUCCACGUGUAGCAGUGAAAUGCGUAGAGAUGUGGAGGAACACCGAUGGCGAAGGCAGUCCCCUGGGCCUGUACUGACGCUCAUGCACGAAAGCGUGGGGAGCAAACAGG